CCUGUGGGAGCCGAGGGGUUGAGAGCAGCGUGGCCUUCUCCUCUCCCCGCCAUGGCGUGUGCUCGUCCACUGAUAUCAGUGUACUCCGAAAAGGCGGAGUCCUCUGGCAAAAAUGUCACUUUGCCUGCUGUGUUCAAGGCUCCCAUUCGACCUGAUAUUGUUAACUUUGUUCACACCAACUUGCGCAAAAACAACAGACAGCCCUAUGCUGUCAGUGAAUUAGCAGGUCAUCAAACCAGUGCUGAGUCUUGGGGUACCGGCAGAGCUGUGGCUCGAAUUCCCAGGGUUGGAGGUGGCGAGACUCACCUUUCUGGUCAGGGUGCUUUUGGAAAUAUGUGUCGUGGGGGCCGCAUGUUUGCACCAACCAAGACCUGUCGAUGUUGGCACCGCAGAGUGAAUACAAUGCAGAAGCGAUAUGCCAUCUGCUCUGCACUGCUGCCUCAGCCUUACCAGCCCUGGUCAUGUCUAAAGGUCAUCGUAUAGAAGAAGUUCCUGCACUUCCUUUGGUGGUUGAAGAUAAAGUUGAAGGCUACAAGAAGACCAAGGAGGCUGUUUUGCUUCUGAAGAAACUUAAGGCCUGGAAUGAUAUCAAAAAGGUUUACGCCUCUCAGCGAAUGAGAGCUGGCAAAGGCAAAAUGAGAAACCGUCGCCGUAUCCAGCUUAGGGGACCCUGCAUCAUCUGUAAUGAAGACAAUGGUAUCAUCAAGGCCUUCAGAAACAUCCCUGGAAUUACUCUGCUUAAUGUAAGCAAGCUGAACAUUUUGAAACUUGCUCCUGGUGGUCAUGUGGGAUGUUUCUGCAUUUGGACUGAAAGUGCUUUCUGAAAGUUAGAUGAGCUUUACGGCACUUGGCGUAAAGCAGCCUCCCUCAAGAGUAACUACAACCUCCUCAUGCACAAGAUGCUCAAUACAGCCUGUGGUGGGAAACAAAGAAAAGAAGGCUAUUGGCGAUGAGAAACUGAAGAAGCC